UAUUAUAUAUAUAUAUAUAUAUAGCAGAAAAGCUGAACUUGUUCAUGGAAUCAUGGCAGUAAAGCAAGAUGGAUUGCUGAUGAUUGAGAAGAUGAGACCUUUCUGUUUGAAUUCAAAUUGGAUAAUGGGUAAUGAUUUUAUGCUCAUUCUUUCAUAUUAUUAUUAGGAUACACUUUAAAAAUUAAUAAAUUCAUAUAACAAAUAAUAAAAUAUAUGAUAAAAAAUUUUUUUUUGCAAGAGGUAAUUUAAGAAUAAAAAAAGAGAUAUAGAUGUUGAAAUUUGAAUAUUAAAUUUAUUAAAUAUUAUUUUUAUGAAUGAUUAUAUAAAAUAAAUUAAUUGAGUUAAAUUUUAAAUUCAUAUUUGAUAAUACUUUAAUUUUUUUUUGUGAAGUUGAAAAUUUUAAAUAAUUUAUUAUAAUUUGAUGAUGGUCAAAUAAUUUGAUUGUUUUCUUUGGCAAAUGUGUAAAAUUGAAUACAUAUAAUUGGGAUUUAGUAUCGUAGAAUUAGAGAGAGAGAGAGAGAGAGAGAGAGAGAGAGAGAAUGUUUAAAAAAUAUUAUAUGAUUUGUUGUUUUAUGCGAAAUGGCAAGUUUGAAUUUUACAUGAAACAAAAAGGUAAAAGAUAAGAAAGAAGAUAAAAAAAAACAACGAUGGGUAGGAAGUGAAGAGUUAAUAAUAUAUGUUAAAAUAAUUUAAUAAUAUUAAAAUCAAUUUUAAAAUUAAAAAUCUCAAAUUCAAACCUUAUUUAUAGUUCAAAAUAACAAAAAAAAUUUAUAAUAAUAACAAUAAAUUAAAUAACUAAUGUAUAUAUAAUGACAGUUGAAUUAUAAACUCAGCAAUUUAAUUUUUAAUUUCUAUGCAAUAUAAUUUUUAUUAUUAUUUUUUUUUAUAUAAAAAAUUUAUGAUAAAUAAAUUAUUCAAUCUUCAAAUAAAAAUAAGAUAUAUCAUACAUGAUAAUUUAAGAUAAAUAAUUAUAAAUCGUAUAUUCAAAAUGAUCAUAACAAACGAUCAUCGAUAAAAUUUAAAUUUAAAAUUUUUUUAUUAAAAAAGAUGAAUUUUAAAUAAUUAAACUAAUCUUUAUCAUUAUAAUUUUUAUUCACUUUAAUGCAGUAGUUGAAAAGUUGACAUCACACAUAUAAUUUUGUCUUAGCCUUCUCUUUGGUGAAAUGAGUUGGGUUUCCUUCUGUUUUUGUUUUUAAACUGAAAUUGGAAAAGCAUUGGAUUGAUGAGGUGAUUCAAAUUGAAAACCUAGUAUGUUUCUUAACUUCAUUUGUCUUCUAGCCUGCUAUAAAUGCCCUCCACGAUGUGGGAUCUAUGGGACAAGUGUCAUACACAAGAAGUCGAGAAUGAGAGGUGAAACUAUUUCUUAAGUAGGUGGGGUUUGGUAAUUUAGACUAGUAAUUCUCAAUCAUUUAGUGUCACAUGUCUUCUCAAGGUAUGGUUGAUUGAAGAUUUAAUUAUUGGAUUAUAAUCUUACUGUUGUUGUUUCACCAUUGGUCGCUUUGUUCUGAGCUUUCGAUACUUCCAUUGUUCACAAAUUGACGUGACAUUCUGUGGUAAAAAAUCCUCUUGAUUUUCUUUUUUAUGGGUUAAGCGGUAAAAAAUUCUUAAACUUCAUCUAGAUCAAAGAUUUGUAGUGUUUUUUUUUUUAAACCACAAUGAUGAUCUUAACGGUAAAAGUGAAAAAAAAAAUCGUUUGAAAUUAUAGCUUUUAGUUAGAUUUGGAUUGAUUUUUUUAAAUUUGAUUCAAAAUAAAUUUAAAAAUUAAAUGUAUAUAUUAAAUUUAAAUUAAAAAAUUAAAAAACUGAAAAAUAUCAAAUCUAAUUAAAAAAUAUAUUUUUAUUAAUUUUUAUGUAAUUGUUAAAUUUUUAUAUCAAAAUCUAUCUAAAUAUAUUAAAAUUUUAUAUUAAGAUAAUAUAAAAAAUUAAAAUUUAAAAAUAAAU
rnacentral:lncRNA from 1 species